UACAGAGGGGGCAAGCGUUUGUUCGGAAUUACUGGGCGUAAAGGGCGCGUAGGCGGCCUGCUAAGUCGAACGUGAAAUCCCCGGGCUCAACCCGGGAACUGCGUCCGAUACUGGAAGGCUUGAAUCCGGGAGAGGGAUGUGGAAUUCCAGGUGUAGCGGUGAAAUGCGUAGAUAUCUGGAGGAACACCGGUGGCGAAGGCGACAUCCUGGACCGGUAUUGACGCUGAGGCGCGAAAGCCAGGGGAGCAAAGCGGG
rnacentral:rRNA from 1 species